rnacentral:misc_RNA from 1 species
AAAUUGUAAUCACUUUUGUUUUGUUUUGAUUUUCAUUCUGUUUCUGCAGGUUAAAUUUGAUUUGGUUUUGGCUUUUAGGCUUUUAACUUGUUUGAUUUGGAAUAGUAAAUAAUUCAUAAAAUAAAAUAAUUCAUUAAAUCCAAUUAAAUAAUUAAUUUCAAAUCUAGUUAUUGUUUGUAUAAAAUAAGUUUGUGUUUGGAGAAGUGUUACUAGUCCUUUCCUGUACCACAGCCAUGCCUGAUAAAAAUAAUGAUGUUGAAAAUGAUAAAUAUGUAGAAAAAAGCAGAAGUGGUCAACCAAGAAAAGAGAAAUUGAGGGGUAAAAGCGAUAUUAACAAAAACACAAAAUAUCGAAAGAAAGUAGAACGAAUUCCUAAACAGAAGAACCAAACUCAGAAUAAGAAGCUGGAACGAAGUAAAGCGAAUACUGAUGUUGGUGACAUUGAGUCUGAAAUUGAUACUGAAAAUGAGGAGGGUUUCAGAGAUGAUAUCCAAGGACGAGUCCAGGUUUCCUUGGGUUCUGUAGAUGCCAACAACGUGUAAGUUUUUCUGGCCCUGUUUUAUUUUCACAGAUAUUAGCUCACACUGUAGUUCGAUGCUGAGGUUUGUUAUAUCUGUAGGUGUAAUGGUGUACCUAGCAUUGUCAUUUUUAUAAAUAGCUACACCACCUUUUUGGUAGCUGGUUCUACUAUAUUCUGCAAUAAGUGUGUAUCCUAGAAUAUGGGUAUUCUGAAUUUCUGCCUGCUUUAAGCCAUGUUCAGUCACUACAAGGAGGUCUGGUUUAAGGUCCUCCAACAGGUGAGUUAAUCUUUCAAUUUUAUUUGAAAGCCUGUCCAUAUUUUGGUGAAUUAUUGUGAGUUGUUCAUAUUUUUUUUACUUUCUGGCUACAUUUUGGUUAAGACUUGUCAAUUUGUUGCCUUGUCCCUUUCUUUCUUUAUUGAACCAAUCUCUAAAAAAGGCCGAAUGUUGAAAUUUUGUGAGAAAUGUUUACUGAGAUCUUCUUUUGUAUAUUGCGCAGUGCAUUGGAUCCACUUGGUCAUCACAUCUUCUUUUGUAUAUUGCGCAGUGCAUUGGAUCCACUUGGUCAACACAUCUUCUUUUGUAUAUUGCGCAGUGCAUUGGAUCCACUUGGUCAACACAUCUUCUUUUGAUGUCGAUAUAUACUGUGUAUGUCUUGUUACGGCCACAACACAGUGGGGGUUUGAAUUGUAAAUUUCCUCUUCAUCUUUUGACAUUCUUACCACUGCUAUGUGGGCGACUUGUUUUCCUUGGAAUUCAUGGAUGGUAGAGCAAUUAUAUCCCCACUUUUUCAGCUCGUGCUUUUCUGAUUGUUUGAAAACCAAGAUUUGAUGUUUUUCUUUAUCCACAGGAAGGGUAGCAAAGGUAAUUUCUUAAGCUCGUUACUGAUGGCAUUGCUUGAAGUCAUACCCCCUUUGUACAUAUUGGAUAGCAGCUUUGCUACAGUGACAGGACAUCUGUAAGUGUGAUUGAGGGUUUUUGUGGUUUUUUUCAAUGUUCAGAAUGUCAUAAUACAUUGCAUUGCACUUUGGAUUUCUAUUUAUAAAUGGAAUUUGGUGCUAGUCUCCAAUCAAGAUUAUCUCUCUUACCUUUGCCAAGGCUGCUGCAAAGAAUAUUUCUCCGGCAUGUGGCAUGAGUGCCUCAUCAACAAUCAGCCUCCUGUAAGUUCCACCUGCAUUGAGAUGUUGUGUGGAGUGAAUUAUAAAGGAAUGGAUGGUGCGGCAGGAAUCUUUUAAUCUUACAAAUUCUUCAGGAUGUUUUUCCUUUAGCCUUGAGCGAAAGUCGGUGGCGCCUCAAAGGUACAACUCUUGUAGGUAUUAUUGAUUUUAAUAUAUUGUUAGACAUGUUAUAAACAUCCUUGUUGUCAGACUUGUUCAGUCUUCUGGAUGCAUUUAAAAUCUGGUCAUGAGUUAAAGGACUCCAUUUAAAACAGUCUAUUGUAGAAUUUGUAUUUUUAAAUAAAUCCUCACGUGGAAUUGUUGGAGUGCCUAUUUUUGUUUGAUUUGUUUGAUACAAUCAAUAAAAUAGUUAUUGAAACUAUUAGGAGGAAUAAAUGUUGUUUGCUAUACUUUGUGUACCAGAUGACUUGUAUACCAGUCAUGAUAAUUUUGUUGAGUUUUUGUAUAACUCUCUUAAAACAUUGAAAGUAUCCAGUAUAAUCUCAAAGAAGGUAUGAAAAUUCCCUUCUUCUACAGUAUUUUUGUUACGAUAAUAAUACACAUCAACCCAAUGAUAAGAACCCAGGUGGUCACACAAUUUAUGCAGAACUGACUUUGGAAAUACCAAUUCACAAAUUAUUUUAGUGUUUAUAGGUGGUAUUUAACUGUUUUUUGUAACAUUAUGAACUAACAAUAAUGCCAUAAUGGUCUGAAAAAGGAAAAGGGAUAUGUCACAUUUGUGGUGUUGGAAAUGGUGUGUUGAUGGACUGAUAAGUGCAUUAUCACGGCAAUUUCUACCUCUUGUAUGUUUGGUAUUCGUACAUUAAAAAUGAAAUUGUCUUAAAAGAUUUAAGAAAACAAUAACAGUUUCAAUUUUUUUGGUAAUAUCGCAAUGUAUAUUUAAAUCCUCACCAACAAUAAUAGUGUAAUAUGCCACUGAGUAGUGAAAUGCAGUAAAUAUGCAAGUUUUAAAGAAAAUCACAGGAUCUCCAGCAGUAGAGUGAUAUAAAGAUAUAACUAUCAAUAUUAGAUUGUCAAAAACAAAUGGCACAGUAGUACUCAAGUGGAUUUGAAUUCACAGCCUCAUUUUGAUUAAGCCAGUGUUCAGAGAUGCAGAUUAAAUGUAUAUUUUCUAUGUUUUGUAAACAACUGUCAAGUAGCAAUGUUUUGUUUUUAAGGGUUUGUAUGUUUCGAAAAAUUAUCUUAUUAUAUAUGUUUUUAUCAUU